UUGUCAACUUGCCUCACAAAAAAUUUUCAACUUUAGAGGAACACCAAGACCCCAAACACACACACACCAAGCUUUCCCUCUCGUCCUCGCUCAACCCUCUAGCCACACCACAAAAAUGGCUAAACCUCCCUAGGAAUAUCUACAUUCACACUAUGUCCCCAUCUAUAUCAAACAAGAGUAAAUCAUUAUGCAGUACUUCAUCUUCCUUUUUCACUCAGUCAAUUCCUUAUCCUUAUCCCACCCUCUUAUCCCUACCUUUUAUUCCGAAUGCCCUAAACGAAAAUGAAUUGUACCCUCAUCCAAGGUCAAUACGAUUUUGUACAUCAACGUUGUCCCACAAAACAUUACCUUGAACACCCCAAGUUCAACCCCAAAAGUCCUGCCUUGAUCGAUCCUUACCAAGAAAACGAAGAGAAAGGAAGACCAACAAUUUCCAGUUUUAAGAGGCGAUAACUAAUCGAACACCUUAAACAUAAAAAACCCUCUAAAAACCAUGAAACUUUUUAUCUGGUAUUUGUAAUUACAAUUUCAAAAAUCUCCAUAAUCAUGGGUUCUCAUUAUUCUUCAAAGCUCAUUCUCUUUCUUGUUGCGAUUUUGUUCCAAGUCAACUUCAACUCAGUCUUUGCUGGCACCUGCGAAUAUGGCACUCGUGAGCGCAACAAAUUGUAUAGCUACAGCUUAACUUCUGCGGUUAAGAAUUUCCCACAUGGUGUUCUCAGCGAAGAUGGGUUUUACAAAGUAGCUGCAAAUGAUACAAUUAUCUGGUUUCAGCUUUGUGACGGAAUGAUCUUCAAUCACGACCCUCCAAGAUGUGUUGAUUGUUGGGAUUGUGGGGGGCCAUCACGUUGUGGAAUGGGUUGCAGUGCCCUUGUGGCUAAAAACACUGGAGGAUAUCUCGCGUGCACAACUCUUGGUCGUGAAAUGAACUUUGACAUCAAUCUUACAGAUAGAAAGUCUCCAGACAAGGGUGUUACUAUUACAAUGUCAAGCAUUACUGACGGAGUUAACUGUUCACUUUCAGUUUCUGUAAUUUGCGACUCAAAGGGUGUUAAGGAGCCAGACACAUUUGAAAAAUUAGGUUCCUGUCAUUAUGCAACUGAGCUAAGACAUCCCUCAGGCUGUCCCAAAAUUGCAGUUCAUGCGAGCGGAUGGGGAUGGUUUAGUUUCCUUUUGACAAUAUUGUUAUGCAGUGUUGGAGCCUAUCUGCUCAUCGGUGGAGCCUAUCGAUAUUUCACCCUUGGUAUUCGUGGCUUAGAUGUUAUCCCUAACUUAGAUUUUUGGAUCAGCUUACCACAUAGCAUAAAGAGUUUUUUCAUGUCCUUGGUGCAAAGGUUUAGAGGACCUACUUAUCAUCACAGAAGCUCUUAUUCUUCGGUUAACUUCUGAGCUCAAAUCUCCUCUCAAGUGCUGUCUGGCAGAUGGGAUUGUCACCUUCUAGAUGAAUGAUUGAAGAUUGUGCAUUUUAGAAUACAGCAAUUCCGCUUGUACAAGAUGAACUUAUCAAGUGAGGAAUAUAAUUUUGUCGAAGACAAUGAUACAUACUGUUGAUAGUCACUAUCUUGUUGUAGAGCAGGUAAUUCGUGUAAUUUAUAUAUGCUAGCUGCUUGGAGGGAGAAUCGAUCCAAAUUGCUUCGCUUGAUAAGGCUAAAAUGCUUACCUUACAAAGUACUUGUAUAUAGUUGUAAUGAUGUUACCUAUCUUGUCUUUACAUUCUUAGUUACAUUAACCUUGUCUUUAUAUUCUCAUAUUUGAUGCUCAUCACCUGCUCCAUGUUAUUUCUUUUAAUGUAAUUUGG